UACGGGGGGGGUAAGCGUUGUUCGGAAUUACUGGGCGUAAAGGGCGCGUAGGCGGCCUGCUAAGUCGAACGUGAAAUCCCCGAGCUCAACUCGGGAACUGCGUCCGAUACUGGCAGGCUUGAAUCCGGGAGAGGGAUGCGGAAUUCCAGGUGUAGCGGUGAAAUGCGUAGAGAUCUGGAGGAACACCGAUGGCGAAGGCAGCCUUCUGGGCCAACACUGACGCUCAUGCACGAAAGCGUGGGGAGCAAACAGG
rnacentral:rRNA from 1 species